rnacentral:lncRNA from 1 species
UUUAUUUCAUGGAACAGCUUUAUCUAGUUUCUUGUCUUGGCAAUUUUCCAUGCUUUGACUUUCUAUAUUUUUCUUCUUUAUCAGUGUCCUUAUGCUACCUUUUCCUAUGCGCAUCUUGGGACUCUUCCUCAUACCCAAGUAGAUCACCGGCUAUUAUUCCCAACAUUUCCUUCCCUAUCAGCCACUAAGAAAUCAAGAUCUUCAUAUCAUUCUGCACAGAGAGCUUCUAGAUAGCUGGAAGUAGUCUUCUGCUAUAAACAAACUUUUUUUAAAUAAGUCGGCUAUAACUGAACCUUUGUCUUACCUUCCUCCAUCAUGUUUGUUUUUCUGUCACCCACCC